GAGUUUGAUUCCAGCUCAGGAUGAACGCUGGCGGCGUGCUUAACACAUGCAAGUCGAACGAUGAAGACCGUGCUUGCACGGUUGGAUUAGUGGCGAACGGGUGAGUAUCACGUGAGUAACCUUCCCUUGACUCUGGGAUAAGCCCGGGAAACUGGGUCUAAUACCGGAUACGACCAGUCCUCGCAUGGGGUGCUGGUGGAAAGAUUUAUCGGUCUUGGAUGGACUCGCGGCCUAUCAGCUUGUUGGUGAGGUAAUGGCUCACCAAGGCGAUGACGGGUAGCCGGCCUGAGAGGGUGACCGGCCACACUGGGACUGAGACACGGCCCAGACUCCUACGGGAGGCAGCAGUGGGGAAUAUUGCACAAUGGGCGAAAGCCUGAUGCAGCGACGCCGCGUGCGGGAUGACGGCCUUCGGGUUGUAAACCGCUUUCAGCAGGAAGAAGCGAAAGGACGGAC
rnacentral:rRNA from 1 species